GAAAGGAAGUGGGCAUUAAGGAAAGGAGUUCCCAAGCCUCCGUCCCCACAGAGCCUCUCCCAGCCCACCAACCGCAAUCCUGGAGUGGAAGAACUCCCAACCACUCCCCCCCCCCUCCGGAGGUCUUUCCUGCUGCUUCCAGGCAGAAACAACUGUCCUUCCUUUGACAUGUGCUCUUAUCGUGUUACAGUAUGUAAAAAAUUUACUUGGACAUGUGUCAUCCCUCCUACCAGAUUGGAAUCUACAGGAGCAGGCACUGAGGCCUCCUAGUCACUGCUCUGGGAUACUGAAGAUAGAUUUGGUCUGCCUAGGCACGGGGUCCUCCCACCUGCCUGCUCUUCCAACAACCUCUACACUGCCCCACUUGGCUCUGCCUCCCUUUUCACCCAAACUUGGCCCUCCCAAAAUAAAUCAUUAACUACCCCAUUCCCUGUUCCCUCCAGGCUAGCUCCUGGACAUGCUUCCCCUCCCCUUCCCUCCAACCUCAACCACCCACCUUUCCCCUUAUCCCCUUCCCUGCUGCUCCCUCCCUUCCUUCCUUCAGACUUGGGUACUUCUACCCUUCUCCUACCAGCCCCAAGGCUCUCCCAG